rnacentral:rRNA from 1 species
GAWGGGGAUGCGUUCCAUUAGAUAGUAGGCGGGGUAACGGCCCACCUAGUCAACGAUGGAUAGGGGUUCUGAGAGGAAGGUCCCCCACAUUGGAACUGAGACACGGUCCAAACUCCUACGGGAGGCAGCAGUGAGGAAUAUUGGUCAAUGGGCGAUGGCCUGAACCAGCCAAGUAGCGUGAAGGAUGACUGCCCUAUGGGUUGUAAACUUCUUUUAUAAAGGAAUAAAGUCGGGUAUGCAUACCCGUUUGCAUGUACUUUAUGAAUAAGGAUCGGCUAACUCCGUGCCAGCAGCCGCGGUAAUACGGAGGAUCCGAGCGUUAUCCGGAUUUAUUGGGUUUAAAGGGAGCGUAGAUGGAUGUUUAAGUCAGUUGUGAAAGUUUGCGGCUCAACCGUAAAAUUGCAGUUGAUACUGGAUGUCUUGAGUGCAGUUGAGGCAGGCGGAAUUCGUGGUGUAGCGGUGAAAUGCUUAGAUAUCACGAAGAACUCCGAUUGCGAAGGCAGCCUGCUAAGCUGCAACUGACAUUGAGGCUCGAAAGUGUGGGUAUCAAACAGGAUUAGAUACCCUGGUAGUCCACACGGWAAACGAUGAAUACUCGCUGUUUGCGAUAUACGGCAAGCGGCCAAGCGAAAGCGUUAAGUAUUCCACCUGGGGAGUACGCCGGCAACGGUGAAACUCAAAGGAAUUGACGGGGGCCCGCACAAGCGGAGGAACAUGUGGUUUAAUUCGAUGAUACGCGAGGAACCUUACCCGGGCUUAAAUUGCACUCGAAUGAUCCGGAAACGGUUCAGCUAGCAAUAGCGAGUGUGAAGGUGCUGCAUGGUUGUCGUCAGCUCGUGCCGUGAGGUGUCGGCUUAAGUGCCAUAACGAGCGCAACCCUUGUUGUCAGUUACUAACAGGUGAUGCUGAGGACUCUGACAAGACUGCCAUCGUAAGAUGUGAGGAAGGUGGGGGAUG